GGUACCCACAUCCCCCUAGAGGAGCCUGUUCUAUAAUCGAUAAUCCGCGUUUAACCUCACCAUUUCUAGCUAUCAGCCUGUAUACCUCCGUCGUCAGCCUACCACGUGAGCGCUAACACAGUAAGCUUAAUGUUAUUUCACCCACACGUCAGGUCAAGGUGCAGCUAAUGAAAAGGAAAGAAAUGGGCUACACUUUCUACACUAGAAAACACGAAAAACUACUAUGAAAUCUAGUUUAAAGGCGGAUUUAGAAGUAAAAAGGAAUCAGCAUGUCCAUUUUAACUCGGCACUGGGGUGUGUACACACCGCCCGUCACCCUCUUCAAAACCACAACAUAAUUUUUAAUAAAUUUUUAACACCACAGAAGAGGUAAGUCGUAACAUGGUAAGUAUACCGGAAGGUGUGCUUGGAAACGAAAUGUAGCUUAACUAAAG
rnacentral:rRNA from 1 species